rnacentral:rRNA from 1 species
ACGCACGCUGGCGGCAGGCUUAACACAUGCAAGUCGAACGCCCCGCAAGGGGAGUGGCAGACGGGUGAGUAACGCGUGGGAACAUACCCUUUCCUGCGGAAUAGCUCCGGGAAACUGGAAUUAAUACCGCAUACGCCCUACGGGGGAAAGAUUUAUCGGGGAAGGAUUGGCCCGCGUUGGAUUAGCUAGUUGGUGGGGUAAAGGCCUACCAAGGCGACGAUCCAUAGCUGGUCUGAGAGGAUGAUCAGCCACAUUGGGACUGAGACACGGCCCAAACUCCUACGGGAGGCAGCAGUGGGGAAUAUUGGACAAUGGGCGCAAGCCUGAUCCAGCCAUGCCGCGUGAGUGAUGAAGGCCUUAGGGUUGUAAAGCUCUUUCACCGAUGAAGAUAAUGACGGUAGUCGGAGAAGAAGCCCCGGCUAACUUCGUG